rnacentral:lncRNA from 1 species
CAGCCCCGUGUGUGGUUGCCAGGACCCACUAGCAACGGGUCACCUGAGCGGCACGUGCGGCUCUGCUGCCCAUGCGUGAUCUCUUCACCGGCCUGGAUUCGAGGCCCUUGCUGUGCACUGGAAUGUUCUCACCAUGCUGCUUUUCACUCAGGACUUCUAGGGCUUGUUUCUUCCCAACAAGGUAGAAAAGGCCCUUAAAAGUGACGACCCUGAAGCUCGUGAAUUAGCAACUGCAUUCAGAGGCUCGUUUCUAAGCCUUGGCUUAUCUGGGCAACUGCUGUUCCAGUAAAGGAAAAUAUGUUCAGAAAACAUGUAAUAGAGAAGGCAUUUAUGAGCACUUGGAAAAGCCAUAAGCAUAUGAAGUGCCCACCGCAGCAGCACCAGCACCAGCACAAGUGGCUCCUCAAAAUCAGUGCAAUGAAAGGAAAUCGGAGACCCUCACUCACACAGCCGCCUUCCCCCAACCCAGCGGCUGCCGUGCUAAACAGCACAGCACUGCAGCUUCUGUCCCCGGAUGGAAGAGAGAUGCCGGAUCAGAAUGUGGGGUUGGGGCCCUCUGUAUUCCCAAGUCUAGGCACUCCUGGCUCGUGUCUGUCUGUGCCUUAUGGGACCUAGUGGGUGGGCUUCUGCUCUCUGCAGAGCCCGGCAGGCUGCCUGGCAUGAGGGGGCCUUCUGGAAGUGUUCUCUGAACCGAACCCCAAGUGAAAGAAAAAUUGGGUUUCUCGGCACCACCCUGACGCUGCUCUGCCCCAUAUGCUUCUCAUUAUGGAACUGGGCUUCUCAUCUGUCCACAGCGCCAUCCGCCGUG